rnacentral:rRNA from 1 species
AGUGAACGCUGGCGGUAGGCCUAACACAUGCAAGUCAAACGGCAGCACAGUAAGAGCUUGCUCUUACGGGUGGCGAGUGGCGGACGGGUGAGGAAUACAUCGGAAUCUACUUUUUCGUGGGGGAUAACGUAGGGAAACUUACGCUAAUACCGCAUACGACCUACGGGUGAAAGCAGGGGAUCUUCGGACCUUGCGCGAUUGAAUGAGCCGAUGUCGGAUUGGCUAGUUGGCGGGGUAAAGGCCCACCAAGGCGACGAUCCGUAGCUGGUCUGAGAGGAUGAUCAGCCACACUGGAACUGAGACACGGUCCAGACUCCUACGGGAGGCAGCAGUGGGGAAUAUUGGACAAUGGGCGCAAGCCUGAUCCAGCCAUACCGCGUGGGUGAAGAAGGCCUUCGGGUUGUAAAGCCCUUUUGUUGGGAAAGAAAAGCAGCAGGUUAAUACCCCGCUGUUCUGACGGUACCCAAAGAAUAAGCACCGGCUAACUUCGUG